rnacentral:rRNA from 1 species
CGCGAAGAAAACUUACCUUUUCUCUACAUGUACGGAACCCCGCCGAGAGGUGGAAGUGCCCGAAAGGGAGCCGUAACACAGGUGCUGCAUGGCUGUCGUCAGCUCGUGUCGUUAGAUGUUUGUUUUAGUUCCGCAACGAGCGCAACCCUUGUCUCUUUGUUGCUACGCAAGAGCACUCCAGGGAGACUGCCGGUGACAAACCGGAGGAAGGUGGGGAUGACGUCAAGUCCUCAUGGCCCUUAUGGGUAGGGCUUCACACGUCAUACAAUGGUCGGAACAGAGGGUUGCCAAGCCGCGAGGUGGAGCCAAUCCCAGAAAACCGAUCGUAGUCCGGAUCGCAGUCUGCAACUCGACUGCGUGAAGCUGGAAUCGCUAGUAAUCGCGGAUCAGCAUGCCGCGGGAAUACG